rnacentral:misc_RNA from 1 species
UUGAAUUUAAAGUUGGAAGGAAGGGUUGUUGCUGGCUUUUAUUGUCAUAAUGGAAGCAUGUGCACGCUCUCUUCUGGACUUUCGCCGUAUGGGCGCGGGGCGACCCGCGUCUUCAUAUACCUCUUCGUGUAGAAAGUCUUUGAAUGUUUUUACAAUCAUCGAGUCGUGACUUCUAGGAGACGCGAUUCUUUGAGACAAAAGUUAUCA